AAAGGGCUGUGGCCCCUGAUUACCGCAGGUGGCCCAUGGGGCAGCUGCCUUAGGGCCCCCAGGAGUAACUGGGCCUGGGGCAGCUGCCCCUUUUGCCCCUCCUUAAAGACGACCCUGCUUGUUUUCAUGUUUGGUGCCUGUUCUAGCCUUGCCUUGCUUCUGUACUGGAUACAUGUCUGCUGCAGAGCCUCCCUAUUCAGCUCCUGGGAGGUCUGCUUAAUUCCAAGUUCCUAGUUCCUGGGAUUUGCU